GACGAACGCUGGCGGCGUGCCUAAUACAUGCAAGUAGAACGAGUUGCGAACGGGUGAGUAACGCGUAGGUAAUUGCCUCAUAGCGGGGGAUAACUAUUGGAAACGUUAGCUAAUACCCCAUACAGUGAGAUGGACCUGCGUUGUAUUAGCUAGUUGGUGAGGUAAAGGCUCACCUAGGCGACGAUCCCUAGUGGGUCUGAGAGGAUGACCAGCCACACUGGAACUGAGACACGGUCCAGACUCCUACGGGAGGCAGCAGUGGGGAAUAUUGCAAAAGGGGCGCAAGCCUGAUGCAGCCAGGCCGAGUGUAUGAAGAAGGCCUUCGGGUUGUAAAGUACUUUCAGAGAGGAGGCGUUACUCGCAGAAGAAGCACCGGCUAACUCCGUGCCAGCAGCCGCGGUAAUUC
rnacentral:rRNA from 1 species